AUGCGGAGGAAAAGAAACCAACUGGGAUUACCUUAGUAACGGCGAGUGAAGCGGUAAAAGCUCAAAUUUGAAAUCUGGUACUUUCAGUGCCCGAGUUGUAAUUUGUAGAAUUUGUCUUUGAUUAGGUCCUUGUCUAUGUUCCUUGGAACAGGACGUCAUAGAGGGUGAGAAUCCCGUUUGGCGAGGAUACCUUUUCUCUGUAAGACUUUUUCGAAGAGUCGAGUUGUUUGGGAAUGCAGCUCAAAGUGGGUGGUAAAUUCCAUCUAAAGCUAAAUAUUGGCGAGAGACCGAUAGCGAACAAGUACAGUGAUGGAAAGAUGAAAAGAACUUUGAAAAGAGAGUGAAAAAGUACGUGAAAUUGUUGAAAGGGAAGGGCAUUUGAUCAGACAUGGUGUUUUUUGCAUGCACUCGCCUCUCGUGGGCUUGGGCCUCUCAAAAAUUUCACUGGGCCAACAUCAAUUCUGGCAGCAGGAUAAAUCAUUAAGAAUGUAGCUACUUCGGUAGUGUUAUAGCUUUUUGGAAUACUGUUAGCCGGGAUUGAGGACUGCGCUUCGGCAAGGAUGUUGGCAUAAUGGUUAAAUGCCGCCCGUCUGAA
rnacentral:rRNA from 1 species